UUCUUCAGGGCAGGGUGUAAUUCCCGACCGGUGGUAAAGUCCACGAGCGUUAUUUUAUAUUUUUAUAUAAAUAAUGUUGAUUUGGUGAAAUUCCAAAACCGACAGUAUAGUCUGGAUGGGAGAAGAA
rnacentral:ncRNA from 1 species